UCAGUUAUCAUCUGUUUCUAUUAAAAAAAUUUGUAUUAAAUGUUGCCUAGGAAACGGCGCUGUCAAUCAUGCACGUUUUGAUCAGACUGUAUAAUGGAGGCUCCUGAGGCUUUCCAUAUUACUCGGAACUUUCUAAAUGGAAAUAAACACAUUUUAUGCAGCCUCCCGGCCUCGCGAAGCAGAGCGGGAGUCGGGGAAAAGUUGCAUCUGAAGUGAAGCACGCCGGUGUCAUGGUGAUGAGACGAUGGCACUGAGAAAUGACACGGCUCAUGCCAGACUCUCGCUCGGGCCAAAAACACAGAGAUGGAGGGGGAGAGAGAGAGAAAGAGAGAGAGAAUCAGCAGGAAGACAGGCAGAGAGGAGUGAGGGAGCGAGGGAUGCAAGGACGAGUGUACUGCACACUAAAUCAAACUGAGGAAGCGAGUGAGCCAAAGAAUGACCGGGGCGUUUUUAGAUAUUCCUCGGCUUUGGACACGAGUAUGGCUUUAUCGCAGGUCAGCACCGAGCUGUGGGAG